rnacentral:rRNA from 1 species
ACGCUCGACACCUACGGGAGGCAGCAGUGGGGAAUAUUGCACAAUGGGGGAAACCCUGAUGCAGCGACGCCGCGUGAGCGAAGAAGUAUUUCGGUAUGUAAAGCUCUAUCAGCAGGGAAGAAGAAAGACGGUACCUGACUAAGAAGCCCCGGCUAACUACGUGCCAACAGCCGCGGUAAUCUGAGCGGGCUGGCAAGGC